UGGGUGGUAAUGCCGGAUGUUCCACAUGAGCGCAUGCGAUGCGAUGGGAAGCUUUUUGCGGCAUGGGAUGGGGUCGCGUCCUAUCAGCUUGUUGGUGGGGUAACGACCCUACCAAGGCGUCGAUGGGUAGCCGGCCUGAGAGGGCGACCGGCCACAUUGGGACUGAGAUACGGCCCAGACUCCUACGGGAGGCAGCAGUGGGGAAUAUUGCACAAUGGGCGCAAGCCUGAUGCAGCGACGCCGCGUGCGGGAUGGAGGCCUUCGGGUUGUAAACCGCUUUUGUUCAAGGGCAAGGCAGGCUUUCGGGCCUGUUGAGUGGAUUGUUCGAAUAAGCACCGGCUAACUACGUGCCAGCAGCCGCGGUAAUACGUAGGGUGCAAGCGUUAUCCGGAUUUAUUGGGCGUAAAGGGCUCGUAGGCGGUUCGUCGCGUCCGGUGUGAAAGUCCAUCGCUUAACGGGUCCGCGCCGGGUACGUAGCGUG
rnacentral:rRNA from 1 species